GAUGAACGCUAGCGGCAGGCCUAAUACAUGCAAGUCGAACGAGAUUGAGGAGCUUGCUCCUCAUGACAGUGGCGCACGGGUGCGUAACGCGUAUGCAACCUAACUUAAUCAGGGGGAUAGCCUCUCGAAAGAGAGAUUAACACCGCAUAAAAUCACAGCACGGCAUCGUGUAAUGAUCAAAUAUUUAUAGGAAUAAGAUGGGCAUGCGUGACAUUAGUUAGUUGGUGAGGUAACGGCUCACCAAGACGACGAUGUCUAGGGGAUCUGAGAGGGUGACCCCCAACACUUGUACUGAGACACGGACCAGACUCCUACGGGAGGCAGCAGUAAGGAAUAUUGGUCAAUGGAGGCAACUCUGAACCAGCCAUGCCGCGUGCAGGAAGACGGCCCUAUGGGUUGUAAACUGCUUUUAUUCGGGAAUAAACCCCUUUACGUGUAAAGGGUUGAAUGUACUGAAGGAAUAAGGAUCGGCUAACUCCGUGCCAGCAGCCGCCGUAA
rnacentral:rRNA from 1 species